rnacentral:sRNA from 1 species
GGCCUAACCCGUUCCGGCUGGAACGGCAGGGUCGGCAAAACCGGUAAAGGGCAGAAAACCUCUCGUCAGGGUUCCUUUACCGGUCGUAUGGGGAAACCCAUACGUUCGGGCCGAAAGGCUCG